rnacentral:lncRNA from 1 species
GCAAAUUAGAAAAUGGCAGAAUCAAAUUUAAAAGGACUCUCCCUAAAUUUAAAGACGAAAUGGGAGUGAGUUGUCUGAUCUUCAGUUUUGGUGAGGCAUCAGGCUAAGAGGUAAAGGCCGUCUUCAUUGUCAAAAGUAAAUCCCCUCUCUUUUCAACCUCUCUCUUUCUUGUAUUCAUCACACUUCCACUGAAACUUGGCUAAGUGUCAGGUUAGGUGUUGGGUGCUGAGGUUACAAACACAAAUGAGCUGAGUCCAAUUUUCUUUCAAGGAGCCGUUCAUAUCUCUCAUGAAAGAAACAAACAUAAUUGAUUAGCACAAAGAAAGCCUUGUUGUAGGAAAGAGAUUAAUCUCUAUCAUUUUUAGAGAUUCAUUUCCUAUUUGGGGGGUGACAUUCAUGACAUAUCAUUUAUUCAUGAUUUUAAGGAAUCUUUAAACAAUUUUAAAUUACAUGCCCAAUGGUACACUUAACACCAAAGGACAAACUGUGGCAAAUUCUUCUGAGUUGUUAACACUCUUUAUUCGUGAACUAUGCAUUUCCUGCUGGCAAAAUUAGAAAUUUAUUUUACUAAAGUAAAACUUCUGGAAUCAUUUCCUUCUGACACCUCGUCUGUGCUUUCUCUCUGGUCAUACUUUCUCACACAAUGUAGAGCCAAGUUCCUAUUUAGAUGGCAGUGUUUGUGGGGACCAUGACAUGCAAGGUCUCUUUAGGUUUGGUUUUACCUGUGCUGUAGCUGCAAAAACUCUUAUCUGCUGUUCAAAAAUAACUUGUAUGUUUUUGUUAUUACAUUUGUUGUGUGAUUUUUAAACCAGCAGAAGAGCUAGUAUUUUCUUUGCUAGGUUAGUUGAUAUCAGAGUAAAAGCACUUUACCUUUUAUUAGGAGUCAUGACUUUACUUGUUUAGUGUCUUUUCAGAUCCACUAGCAUGGUGAUUAUAGGGAUGGCUUUGGGGACAGUAUGGCAGGCUUAUUCCACUUGAGCCUUAGUUUCCUUAUCUGUGAAACAGAAAUAAGAAUAAAAAUUAGUAUGACAGGAUUAAGUGAAAUGUCCAUGUAAAGUAUUAGAUAUAUACCUAGCAUGCAGUAAACCCUCUGUGAAUCUCAGCUGUGGUGAUGUUCUCCCAGCAGCAUUGAAGAANGUACAGUAGGAAAAAAAAUUGCAUUGGGGAAAUAACCAUUUAAAAAAAAAUGGUUAAAAAAAAAAAGUACCCAUCUCGUGUUACAUCAUGUGAGUCACAAAAUGCUAACAAGUAGAUGAAGUUUGUAGGAAGGCAGACAGCUCAUCACUGCCACCAUAUAUCUUGACUGUGUGAUCUUAUCUAUUCUUUAGAAAAAUCUACAGAUAAAUUGCACUUAUCAUUUUUAAGGCUUUCACUUCCUCAUGGUCUGCUUUACUUACUACGCAUAUUUAUAUAACGUACAAAGGCAUGUCUACUUCUGCAUUGUCCAAAGAAGUUGUUCUCAAAGAAGUAGGAAUGUGUUCAAGAUCAAAAAUCUCCAAUGGGAAAGAGCUUGGACUGAAACUCUAGUUCUUUAGAUUUGGCAUUUUAAAUCAUAUCUCAUUUAUUUUGUCUAAAUCAAGAAUUCCUAUUCUUUGAUAAUUAUAAAUUUGAAUCUAACAAAAACACUUUUUUUGUAACUUUGUUUUUUAGUAACUUUGUUUCUAAUGUGCCUCACCAAAGAAUAUUAGAUGGAUAUUUCUAGUCUGUGUCUCAGGAUUUGCUUGGUCCAAUCUGCCUGAGAUUUAUUCCCUCUUCUGUAUAAGAAGCUCAGUCACUUGUCGUUCAUGAUGCAGUUCAGCACACGUAUCUUCCAUAAAGCCCUCCUUGGAUGCCCCAGUCUGAACAUUUUACUGUUUUGUCUGUCCAACUCCCUGGGCAUUUAUUCUGUGCUCUCUUUUAUUGUUAUUUACCUUUCGUGCUCAAAUUGACUGUUGUGUCCUUGUGCAGAGGCACCAUAGCCUCGCACAUUACUGAUUUAAACAGGUACGUGGUUGUUUGAAGAUGCUGGUGGAGAUGAUGAUGCUGGUGAUGAUAGCAAUACUUAUGGUAAUAUCUCCGGGUAACCUCAUUGGUGUUCUUCCCAUGGCUGUGACCCUGGCAAGCAACAAUCAGUUGAUCACUGAUAAUUCACCUGUUCAGUUGUGUUUAUUCAUUUGACUCAGAAUAUUUCUGGAGAGUCUACUAUACACCAGGCCCUAUCUAGGUACUAGGAUUAUGAAGACAAAGAAGGUAUGAACUCCAGAACUUACAUUCUAGUGGAAGAGUCAGACUUAAAAAAUAUAUUUUUAAUUUAUAUCAUUGGGAUGGCAAAAGUGAGGAUAUGAUUCCUAAUUUAUUUAUGAGGGGAAUGGUAGGUUCAGGAAAAACUUCAGAGAGGAGGCAGGGUUGGAAUCGAGUCUUAAAAGAUGAGUAAGUGGAACAAACCCACUUACGUCUGCUCUUUUUCUGUUAUUGGCAGCAAAUAUGUCUCAAGGCAAGACAAGACCACUAGUUUAAAGUUCCUAGAGCUAGAACAGAACUGGAGAUUUUUGACCUUCAGUGACUGGAGUAGGAGGUAAUGACAUGAUAUAAUUUAAGGAAACAAAUUAUCUGUUAUUUGGAGAAGUUACUGUGAAAUGACCUGAAAUUGUGUUGAGAUCACUGUGGCCUGCUCUUGCAAAAAAGGGACCUCCUCUGUCACUGUGGGGGAUUCUAAAGAGCUCAUGAAAAAAAAAAAAAAAAAAAAAAAA